CGUAAGGAUAGCCGCGCUAAGGACAGUCAAACUAACGAAUCCGCGCGAAUGCCACGCCAGCUCCUGCCUCGCCCUGCCAAUCCCGCAUAUCUUGCACACUCGCAUCUCUUGACGGAGCGACGGACAGCUUGGGCUUCUCAAGUGUUCGGUGGCGGCUCCUGUGAACUCAAGCCCGUCGUCAAUUUCAGGAUUUGAUGACUGUUCAAAGUCUGAAACCCCAAAUUUCAGUGCGUGACCUGAUUUCUUGCCAGGUUGGACGAAAUUGAUUGAAAUUGGGAUGAAAUUGAGACGGAAUUCCGCGGUCUUCUUGCUGAUCUGCCUCACGCGCUCUGCGUGGACUGCUGAUCUGUUAGCAGGUUAUAUGGGCACGUGGCCUCACUAGUCCAAAAUACAGCAACAAGGACGGGUGGAAAUCGCUAUCAUAUCACUGGCGUUGGUUUCAGCACCCACCAUUGAUGCUUUUUCACCAAAAUAAAAAGAAAUUGCCACAGCUCCACUGAAGGCCGGCCCUAACCAAACCCACCGCGAAGCCACUGCGUCGGCGGCGGAUCGUCCCAGAAAAGGGUCGUCGUCCUUGGCGUCAGCGGCUGGAGGAGAUAGGCGCAGGAGGCUGCGCCCUUCCGAAGCCGACGCGGCGGUCAUGUGGCUAAUCCUCGCCGAACCGUUUAAGCUGAGUAUUUAGUGCGUCUUUAUAUAAUUUUUUUGUGCUAGUGCGCAUUAAUUCUAAUUUAAUAGUGGCACUCGGAUUUAAUAAAGUAGAUGCGCAAGUUGUUGCGGAAAUUUUAGUUAACACAAAGAGUAUUCAAAAUUGAAAAAUAUAAUGAAAUUGUACAUUUUUCAUUUAGUGGGGAUAACUUGAUGGAAGUAACAUGCAUGCAUGUGCAAAAUAUGAAUUUUGCACUAAAUAGGUGUGAACAAAUUAAUUAUAUGAUAAUGUGACAUGCUUGCAUUUUUUAGAAAAAUCUAGCAGUGGUUGCUUCUACUUAUGUAUAUAAAAGGUACAUACUAGUAUCUAAUUUUGUCUGUCUCAAACAAAAGAUUCCCGGUAUUGCAGGUUGACAGAGGAUGCUUGCACUAAAAGAUACUUAAUUGACACUUGACAGACGAAAUUGGCACAUACAGACAGUUUUGGGCUUCCAGUCAGCCGGGAUGACGUGAGGGGCGACGAGCACCUUGCCGGACUCGCUGGUGAGGCGGAUGGAGAAUGGGCCCUGGAGCGGCGUGUGAUAGUCCACGUCCAUCCUCCAGAUGGCGCC